AAGAAAAAAAAAAUAAAAAUCAGAGACACAACUACUGUUCUUUAAAAUCUUAACCAAAAUUAAUUUAUAUUUAAUACACUCUUUCUCACAUCUGGAUUCGAAACUUUUUGAUAGUCCCAUGACGUGAAUUUAAACUAAGAAUCUUCUUCUCCAAUAUCAUGUUAAAUUAUGUAACACAAUCGUUAUUCUAUAAAAACUUAAACUGAUAGAGAAUGAUAUUUUUGUAUGUAACAUCUAUUACUUUAAAAGCUUAAGUUAACAAAAAAAAAUUGAUAAACUUUUUUUUAAGUCAUU
rnacentral:lncRNA from 1 species